GAUGAACGCUAGCUACAGGCUUAACACAUGCAAGUCGAGGGGCAGCGGGAUUGAAGCUUGCUUCAAUUGCCGGCGACCGGCGCACGGGUGAGUAACGCGUAUCCAACCUUCCGUACACUCAGGGAUAGCCUUUCGAAAGGAAGAUUAAUACAAGAUGGCAUCAUGAGUCCGCAUGUUCACAUGAUUAAAGGUAUUCCGGUAGACGAUGGGGAUGCGUUCCAUUAGAUAGUAGGCGGGGUAACGGCCCACCUAGUCUUCGAUGGAUAGGGGUUCUGAGAGGAAGGUCCCCCACAUUGGAACUGAGACACGGUCCAAACUCCUACGGGAGGCAGCAGUGAGGAAUAUUGGUCAAUGGACGAGAGUCUGAACCAGCCAAGUAGCGUGCAGGAUGACGGCCCUAUGGGUUGUAAACUGCUUUUANAAGGGAUAAAGUGGGAGUCGUGACUCUUUUUGCAUGUACCUUAUGAAUAAGGACCGGCUAAUUCCGUGCCAGCAGCC
rnacentral:rRNA from 1 species